UGAAGGUCAGACAUGUUAAUUUUUCAAAAUAAGAUUAAUAAAGUAUUAAUCACGUACCUGUUAACACUCUCAAACAAUUCCCAUCUCUUUAAGUUUCAGGAUUUCCUACCAUUGAUCCAGAAGAUCACAAAGACUGUAGUCCUGCCCCCUCUCUCUCCCAAAUUACACCAUGGAUCAUCAUUGCCAUCUUAUUGAUGCUUCUCUUGUUGGUAGUGGGACGACAUCACUUUCACAGAUUUGCAUGUAGCAGAGAUGCUAGUUCACGGUCACAGAUAGAACCUGAUUCAAGGUCAUCAGAGCAUCAGACAGUCUCCGUACAGGCCAGUGCACCUGCAGCAAGCCAACCUAUGUAUGCUACUGUAACCAAGACCAGGAAGAAGAAGGAUAAAGAUGGAGUGUCAGCCAUUUAUUACGCUUUGGGCCAAAAUGGUGCUCCACAGC